AUUCUGUUACUGGCAGAUACCAUCGUACUGUAUCAUCUUUUGUUGUUGAUCCUAAUCAUGUGUUCCUGAUAAUAGUGGGAGGUGAUAUAGAGACUGAACAGGAAGAUAUAGGAGGAGAAGUAAUGAAAUGGGUUGAUGCACCUGUCACUGGUCCUAAUAUCACAAUAGUAGUAGAACUAGUUUUUAAUGAUGGUCAAUGGUCAGUGUGUCUAGUAUUAGAUUCAUUUAAUAUUCCUUUAUUGUAUGAACUAAUACUAAAAGAAA